rnacentral:rRNA from 1 species
AUUGAACGCUGGCGGCAUGCCUUACACAUGCAAGUCGAACGGCAGCGGACCUUCGGGUGCCGGCGAGUGGCGAACGGGUGAGUAAUAUAUCGGAACGUACCUUUCAGUGGGGGAUAACGUAGCGAAAGUUACGCUAAUACCGCAUAUUCUGUGAGCAGGAAAGCAGGGGAUCGCAAGACCUUGCGCUGAUUGAGCGGCCGAUAUCAGAUUAGCUAGUUGGUGAGGUAAAGGCUCACCAAGGCGACGAUCUGUAGCGGGUCUGAGAGGAUGAUCCGCCACACUGGAACUGAGACACGGGUCCAGACUCCUACGGGAGGCAGCAGUGGGGAAUUUUGGACAAUGGGCGCAAGCCUGAUCCAGCCAUGCCGCGUGAGUGAAGAAGGCCUGGUUGUAAG